UACGGAGGGUGCGAGCGUUGUUCGGAUUUACUGGGCGUAAAGGGCGCGUAGGCGGCCAGCGCAAGUCAGUUGUGAAAUCUCCGGGCUUAACUCGGAACGGUCAACUGAUACUGCGCGGCUAGAGUGCAGAAGGGGCAACUGGAAUUCUCGGUGUAGCGGUGAAAUGCGUAGAUAUCAGGAGGAACACCAAUGGCGAAGGCAGCUCGCUGGGACGGUACUGACGCUGAGACGCGAAAGCGUGGGGAGCAAACAGG
rnacentral:rRNA from 1 species